UACGAAGGGUGCAAGCGUUACUCGGAAUCACUGGGCGUAAAGCGUGCGUAGGCGGUUCGUUAAGUCUGUUGUGAAAGCCCUGGGCUCAACCUGGGAACUGCAGUGGAUACUGGCGAGCUAGAGUACGGUAGAGGAAGGUGGAAUUCCCGGUGUAGCGGUGGAAUGCGCAGAUAUCAGGAGGAACACCAAUAGCGAAGGCAGCUCGCUGGGACGUUACUGACACUGAGGCGCGAAAGCGUGGGGAGCGAACAGG
rnacentral:rRNA from 1 species